UACGGGGGGUGCGAGCGUUGUCCGGAAUCACUGGGCGUAAAGGGCGCGUAGGUGGUUUGAUAAGGGUGUGGUGAAAGUCCGGGGCUCAACCCCGGAUCUGCCAUGCCGACUGUCAAACUCGAGGGCUGUAGAGGCAGACGGAAUUCCGGGUGUAGCGGUGGAAUGCGUAGAGAUGUGGAGGAACACCGAUGGCGAAGGCAGCCUCCUGGGCCAACACUGACGCUCAUGCACGAAAGCGUGGGGAGCAAACAGG
rnacentral:rRNA from 1 species